rnacentral:snRNA from 1 species
GGGUGUGAGUGGCUCUGGCUGCAACGUCUGUCAUUCCAUUGAUCGCCAGGCUGGCUUCAUUAGUUCUGGCUGGCUAGGCUAGGGUCUCCUUUCUCCCUCACCUUUCCAUGUGCAUCUCUUCUCAAGCUGCAUGCUCUGUCAAAGAAGGCAUCCUUCUCUAGUAGAGUGGACCAUUCUUCAGACAAGAGUCUACUUACUAUCAGGGAAUAACCCAACCCGAUUCAAGAGUCCCUAAAUAAUCUCUUAGUUCUGAGAUAUUUU